rnacentral:lncRNA from 1 species
AGCACCUUCAACUAAACUCCAUUCUGUGCUGCCCUUUGGAACACCCACUCAAUGGCCUUCACACUCCAUGUCCUACUUGGGAGGACAUGUGAUCUCAACAGCACUCACAAAUGAAGGCUUUCCAGACAGGAUAUUGAAGAUGGGAGGUGUGAGCUGUGGGAGAGAGCUGACUAAGAAGAAGAAACUCCCCAGAAAGGUGGCCUGCCAGUCUUCACGAUGUAUGGGAGCAGGUGGGAAAAGAGCUGCAAGUGUUUGCACUUCAUCAUUGAAAUUGUUGAAACUGCUGAUCAGGAAACACAGAAUGAGUUUAACCAGCGAUGCCAACUUCUGCAAGAUGGACUCCAGCUUGGGAGCUCUGUAUGGAAU